rnacentral:rRNA from 1 species
CGUGGGGAACCUGCCCCAUAGUCUGGGAUACCACUUGGAAACAGGUGCUAAUACCGGAUAAGAAAGCAGAUCGCAUGAUCAGCUUUUAAAAGGCGGCGUAAGCUGUCGCUAUGGGAUAGCCCCGCGGUGCAUUAGCUAGUUGGUAAGGUAAAGGCUUACCAAGGCGAUGAUGCAUAGCCGAGUUGAGAGACUGAUCGGCCACAUUGGGACUGAGACACGGCCCAA